GACCCUUCCAAAAUCCGGGUAAUUCCCUAUAUUUAGUACUGCCGGCUUGUCCGGCUAUGGCGCUAAACGCCGUACGGAAUAGACGUAGCGGACCCGGGGGCGGUACCCGGCGCCUCCACCAGGAACGCAUCGGCGACCGAAUCGCUCAGACAGACGGUCGCAGGGAUGCCCACUUUCGGUGUUUUCCUGAUGGGGGCGAAAUAGGAUCGACGCGCGUGAUAAAGGUACGGUUUGCGUUCGGCAUGGUACCACCGUUAUCGGGCCAUUUCUAAAAGUGCCAAUGAUAAUGACAUGGUGCUCGCUGCCUAAUUAACAGGUAAGCGCGGUUUCGGGGGGCACCGGGCAACAGAAGCCCCCCACU
rnacentral:tmRNA from 1 species